rnacentral:rRNA from 1 species
CCUACGGGAGUCAGCAGUGGGGAAUAUUGGUCAAUGGGCGCAAGCCUGACCCAGCAACGCCGCGUGAAGGAAGAAGGCUUUCGGGUUGUAAACUUCUUUUAUGAGGGACGAAAGAAAUGACGGUACCUCAUGAAUAAGCCACGGCUGACUACGUGCCAGCAGCCGCGGCAAUCCGUAGGUGGCAAGCGUUAUCCGGAUUUACUGGGUGUAAAGGGCGUGUAGGCGGGACUGCAAGUCAGAUGGGAAAAUUACGGGCCUAACCCAUGACCUGGCGUUGAAACUGUAGGUCUUGAGUGCUGGGGAGGCAGGCGGAAUUCCGGGUGUAGCGGUGAAAUGCGUAGAUAUAAGGAGGAACACCAGUGGCGAAGGCGGCCUGCUGGACAGCCACUGACGCUGAGGCGCGAAAGCGUGGGGAGCAAACAGGAUUAGAUACCCGAGUAGUC